rnacentral:rRNA from 1 species
UAGGGAAUAUUGGACAAUGGGCGAAAGCCUGAUCCAGCAACGCCGCGUGUGCGAUGACGGCCUUCGGGUUGUAAAGCGCUUUUUGAGAGGAUGAGGAAGGACAGUACUCUUAGAAUAAGCCUCGGCUAACUACGUGCCAGCAGCCGCGGUAAAACGUAGGAGGCGAGCGUUAUCCGGAUUUACUGGGCGUAAAGCGUGUGUAGGCGGUUUGAUAAGUUGGAUGUGAAAGCUCCUGGCUUAACUGGGAGAGGUCGUUCAAAACUAUCAGACUUGAGAGUGGUAGAGGGAGGUGGAAUUCCGCAUGUAGUGGUGAAAUGCGUAGAUAUGCGGAGGAACACCAGUGGCGAAAGCGGCCUCCUGGCCCAUUUCUGACGCUCAGACACGAAAGCUAAGGUAGCAAACG